rnacentral:rRNA from 1 species
UACGGAGGGUGCAAGCGUUAUCCGGAUUUACUGGGUUUAAAGGGUGCGCAGGCGGAUAUGUAAGUCAGUGGUGAAAUCUCCGGGCUUAACCCGGAAACUGCCGUUGAUACUAUAUAUCUUGAAUGCUGUGGAGGUAAGCAGAAUAUGACAUGUAGCGGUGAAAUGCUUAGAGAUGACAUAGAAUACCUAUUGCGAAGGCAGCUUACUACGCAGAUAUUGACGCUCAUGCACGAAAGCGUGGGGAUCAAACAGG